GAACCUGCGGAGGGAUCAUUACCGAGUUUACAACUCCCAAACCCCUGUGAACAUACCACUUGUUGCCUCGGCGGAUCAGCCCGCUCCCGGUAAAACGGGACGGCCCGCCAGAGGACCCCUAAACUCUGUUUCUAUAUGUAACUUCUGAGUAAAACCAUAAAUAAAUCAAAACUUUCAACAACGGAUCUCUUGGUUCUGGCAUCGAUGAAGAACGCAGCAAAAUGCGAUAAGUAAUGUGAAUUGCAGAAUUCAGUGAAUCAUCGAAUCUUUGAACGCACAUUGCGCCCGCCAGUAUUCUGGCGGGCAUGCCUGUUCGAGCGUCAUUUCAACCCUCAAGCACAGCUUGGUGUUGGGACUCGCGUUAAUUCGCGUUCCUCAAAUUGAUUGGCGGUCACGUCGAGCUUCCAUAGCGUAGUAGUAAAACCCUCGUUACUGGUAAUCGUCGCGGCCACGCCGUUAAACCCCAACUUCUGAAUGUUGACCUCGGAUCAGGUAGGAAUACCCGCUGAACUUAAGCAUAUCUA
rnacentral:rRNA from 1 species